GUCCGAAGCCAAGGAGGAGGAAGGCGGGGACGACCUCGGUGAGCAUGUCCUGAGCAGCCCCACUCUUGAUGUAGAAAAGGGGCGGAUAGACGAGAGCGAGAGGAACGCAGAAAAGGCCGCCGAUUAG
rnacentral:rRNA from 15 species